UUCAAAACUAAAUAAACCUAAAGGAUUUUGAAAAUAAUUAUUUGAUGUUGUUGCAGCUACACUGGGUUAUCCUUCUGCAGUCGCCGAGGAGAUUUCCUGGUUCACUUGUCCUGGGGGAGAAGCCCUUAUCUAAUCCGCCCAUGACCUGAACGGACAUCACCACCACCAUCAGGAGUUGCUUCUUCUGGACACCUUCAUCCAUGAGGGGAUCGACGGUACGUCGCGUGUACUUCAAUCGGGAGUGUCGGUCGGGAGUGUUCUCGGGGUCCAGCUUCGAACUUCGAAGCUUCCAACACCGGGAAUCUCGGAAUUUCCGAGAUCCUUCGUUUUGGAAACUUCGGAAUUCGAAUCUCAAGGACUCCAAAACCUAUGAUCCCAUAUCGGGAUCAAGUUUUUGGAGUUCUUGUGAUUUGUUUUCUGACGUUUCCGGGACUUGGGAUCUUGGGAAUUUCGAAUUUCGUGUGCUGGGGGCUUCUAGUUCGAAUUUGGACUCCUCAAAUUUCCGGGCAAAGCCCCGGACGGUCUUCGAAUAACAAAAACGUUCGCACUAAACCUGGUAGGCGUGAAAAAUUUGUUUUUGUCUUUUUUUAAUGUAAUAAUAAAACAACGUUGUGGUAAUUA
rnacentral:misc_RNA from 1 species